UAAAAUUAUGGCUUCCUUAACUUUUAUAGGAUAGAAGUAAUCCAUUGGUCUUAGGAAUCAAAAAAUUGGU
rnacentral:tRNA from 1 species